UACGUAGGGUGCGAGCGUUAAUCGGAAUUACUGGGCGUAAAGCGUGCGCAGGCGGUUCGUUAAGUUCGUUGUGAAAGCCCCGGGCUCAACCUGGGAACUGCAAUGGAAACUGGCGGGCUUGAGUGUGGCAGAGGGGGGUGGAAUUCCACGUGUAGCAGUGAAAUGCGUAGAGAUGUGGAGGAACACCGAUGGCGAAGGCAGCCCCCUGGGGUAACACUGACGCUCAUGCACGAAAGCGUGGGGAGCAAACAGG
rnacentral:rRNA from 1 species